GAGGGUAUAGCUCCGCAGUAGAGUAUGUGCUUAGCAUGCACGAGGUCCUGGGUUCAAUCCCCAGUAUCUCCA
rfam:Camelus ferus unplaced genomic scaffold scaffold23785, whole genome shotgun sequence.